GUGAGGAGCGGACUACUAGAGGGAGAAGACGUGAGUAGAUUUUGCGAACACCAAGGCAAGCUGCUUCGCGUCAACACCACUCAGGUUUGUUUACGUCGCUUGAUUCCCAAGCUGACCAGAACCAGGGUCUCUCUGGACCAGACAGACUUUCCUGGGUUGCUUAUGAUAGAGGCGAGCCCCGUAAUUGGACAGUGGCUGGAAGGCGGCUCGGGAUUGGUUGGCUGACUGGCGCUCAAAAAGAGGAGUAGGUGUUGUGUCCUGUCUGCAGUUUGACAGUCCUAAGGAAUCUAUAUUAAGAAGAAUCUAUUAAAUCCUUAAUCAGUCCUGUGAACGGAAAGGCUGAGGAGGGACGCAUAACAGGAAGACUUAACUGGAAUGCGAGUCUGAGCCAUGGAGCCACAAACAGGAAGAAUACCACACGUGCGGAAAAUCAGCCAUGAUAUGGUGCUGCUACGGAGACGCCUGGUGGAACUCAAGAGACGUGCAGGUCUGCUCUGCUCGGAGGCCCUGCAGCACCAGCUGAAUUUCACAUUGGACAGUCUGGACCAGAGGAUCCUUGGUCACAGCUCACUGCUGGAAUUAAGCUUUAGAGAAAAGUAUUUGGAUUUGAUGAACAAGAAGUCAGAGGUGCAGCAGAAAGUUAGUUUGAGUGGAUUAUCUGAAGUGAAAGUGGGUGUGAAGAGAGUGGUGGGCCUCUUUGAUGAGCCUGAGCCACUGCCUCCCCCAAAGCACCACAAAGUGGAAGAUGACAUAACAGAAGACAGUGAGAUAGAAAAGGGAGUGUUCAAACUUUAUGAAACAGAAGGUACCAUUGGAGAUGUUGCCUAUGCCACUGCAUAUCUAGUGAAGAGCAAGCCUGGUGAGGAAGGAGGAAGGGUGGCAGAGCUGGAGGACUUGAGCCUGGGUACUCAGAGUGGUGUGGCAAAGAUGAUGCUUACACCAGAGAGACUCUCAUUACAUGAAACUGUGUAUUACUUCACUGCCGACCUCUAUUACUAUAAGAUGCUGCAUGAUGAGCGAAGGGAGGCACUGGACCACCUGGAGUCAGAAGUGCCAGGUUUGGAGGUGGUGAGGGGCACGGAGCCAGUAGUGCUGCAGCUCCUGAGUCAUGGACAGCACCAGGUGGAAGUGUAUUGGGGCUUAAUUUGGCAUGACCUGAACAGCAGGUUCAAGUACAACAUUUUAGUUAACUGCCCUGAAGAAGUUGUCGCAAGGUACAGCACAGCAGAUGUCUACCCUUACCUGAGCAAACAGAUGAAAUUACAAACUGUAGAGGAUGUCAUAAGUUUUGCAGAGGCCUUCACAGAUCUCUAGUGCCAACAUUGGGUAUGUGCUGAUCUACUAGCAUAUUGCUUUGAGCAACCUCACAAACUCUGUUAUAAGCCCUCCUGCAUACACUGAAGGAUUGAAUGAACGAAGGUGUGCCUCAUCCUUGGCUAUCUUGUACCCCCAAAGUCUCAGUGCUUCACCACAAACACUCUGGAUCUGUUUCACAUCCUCCCAAGAUAAGUCCUGCUGCCAGUGGAUUGGUGCAACUUUGGAGUCACGGAAGGUGCUGGACACCCCGCCUAUUGUCUGCUUGGUGUGCGUGUCAAGGAAUGCUUGCACUCGUCGAUGGUAGCUCAGAUGGAAGAACUCAAACAGCUUCCUUGUCAUGUUGUAGACAUUGAAAGACAGAUCCUCAUAGCGUACCAUCCUGUUGAAAAACAGAUGUGGCUUGGUUACUGUCACACAAAGGUGUUGCAAGUGUUCAAAGUUUGUAGAAGGACAGGAUAUUUGUUUUGACUUAGAAAUUAACUAUCUAGAUAUCAGUUUGUUUUGACUUAUAAAUUAGCUAUCUGUGGAUCACUCAUAUUUUAAAAGGGAAGGGACUCGUGUAUGGAUCUAAAUGAUUAUAUUAUGAAUCACUACUACCCUUGCCAUUUUCAUAGUGUUUAAUAACCAUGCAUCGACUAAUGUCAUAAUAAAAAGGAAUAAAGAUA